GAUGAACGCUGGCGGCGUGCCUAAUACAUGCAAGUCGAGCGAACGGACGAGAAGCUUGCUUCUCUGAUGUUAGCGGCGGACGGGUGAGUAACACGUGGAUAACCUACCUAUAAGACUGGGAUAACUUCGGGAAACCGGAGCUAAUACCGGAUAAUAUUUUGAACCGCAUGGUUCAAAAGUAAAAGACGGUCUUGCUGUCACUUAUAGAUGGAUCCGCGCUGCAUUAGCUAGUUGGUAAGGUAACGGCUUACCAAGGCAACGAUGCAUAGCCGACCUGAGAGGGUGAUCGGCCACACUGGAACUGAGACACGGUCCAGACUCCUACGGGAGGCAGCAGUAGUGAAUCUUCCGCAAUGGGCGAAAGCCUGACGGAGCAACGCCGCGUGAGUGAUGAAGGUCUUCGGAUCGUAAAACUCUGUUAUUAGGGAAGAACAUAUGUGUAAGUAACUGUGCACAUCUUGACGGUACCUAAUCAGAAAGCCACGGCUAACUACGUG
rnacentral:rRNA from 1 species